rnacentral:lncRNA from 1 species
CCCGGCCUCUGCAUCAUGAUGAUGCAUGCAGCCAUUUUAUUUAAUCGCAAAGGUUGAACCGUAGUGCAAGGUACAUAAACAGCCAGAAGUCUACCGAAAAAGAAAAAUAAAUACAUGCCAACAUGGGCUAAAUCAAGCUCAGACUAAGAUGCCUAUACACCUAGCCUGUUAGUGUGCAGCCAUACAUAUCGGUUGAAGAUGUCUUGCACUCCAUUAAGCCACGUCCCAAAUAACAUGUUCAUACUUAAUG